GGGCGUGUAGCUCAGUUGGCUAGAGCGUUACACUGAUAAUGUAAAGGUCGAAGGUUCGAUUCCUUCCACGCCCA
rnacentral:tRNA from 1 species